GCUCGGAUGCACUCUUUUGUCCUCAUCAUGCCUUCGCCUCGCCCGCCGCCGCUGCUGCUUCAUGCGGCCGGUGCGCCGUGCGGUGUGCGGACGCGGGGCGAGGAGUGGUAAGAAGGGGGGAAGAAAAGCUCUCUUGCUUCCGACCUCAGAUCGGACGAGAUUACCCGCUGAAUUUAAGCAUAUCAC
rnacentral:rRNA from 1 species